UACGUAGGCAGCAAGCGUUGUUCGGAGUUACUGGGCGUAAAGGGUGCGUAGGUGGCUCUAUAAGUAUGGUGUGAAAUCUCCCGGCUUAACUGGGAGGGUGCGCCGUAGACUGUGGGGCUAGAGUGUGGGAGAGGAAAGUGGAAUUCCUGGUGUAGCGGUGAAAUGCGUAGAUAUCAGGAGGAACACCGGUGGCGAAGGCGGGUCUCUGGGCCAUCACUGACGCUGAGGAGCGAAAGCGUGGGGAGCGAACAGG
rnacentral:rRNA from 1 species